UCUUUGUGUCUUUCUUUGAUAAAAUUUUAAUCAUCAACAACAACGACAACAGUAACUUGCAAAGAGAGAAAGAGGGAGGAGAGAGAGCAAAAAAGAAAGGGUCUCUCUCACCCUCUCAUAUUGUUAUUUUUCCUCGCAGAUCUUAGAUUCUUCCAGUUUCCUAUCUGGGUUCUUCUUCUUUUUUUUUCCUGGAUUCCUGGAUUGCUUUUGAUUGAUAUUUGAUUGCUCAAAGGUUGUUUCUACUUUUGGAUUUAAUCCAAGAGUGACCUUUUGUUGUAAAUAUCCAAGCUUUGCUUUGUAUUUUUGACAAGUGAGUAUUGGAUUGUAUUUUGCUGCAGUGGUGUCCAAUUGUGUGUUAGAAUUAAGAUCUGGUGUUUGAUUGAAUGGAAAUGGAGCUUGGAAAGUUGUUCAUUGGUGGGAUUUCAUGGGACACGAACGAAGACCGUCUUAAGGAGUAUUUCCGGGCUUUUGGGGAAGUUUUAGAAACUGUCAUAAUGAAGGAUCGGGCCACGGGUCGUGCUCGAGGAUUUGGUUUUGUUGUUUUCGCAGACCCUGCUGUUGCUGAGAGAGUUGUGAUGGAAAAGCACCUUAUAGAUGGUAGAAAUGUUGAGGCAAAGAAGGCAGUUCCUAGAGAGGAUCAGAACACCCUGAACAAAAACAGUAGCAGUGUUAAUGGUUCACCUGGCCCAGCCCGAACAAAGAAGAUAUUUGUAGGAGGUUUAGCAUCUACAGUUACAGAGAGUGACUUUAGGAAGUACUUUGAUCAGUUUGGGAUGAUUACAGAUGUGGUAGUUAUGUAUGAUCACAACACUCAAAGGCCAAGAGGUUUUGGAUUCAUCACCUACGAUUCAGAGGAAGCAGUGGAUAGAGUAUUGCACAAAACCUUUCAUGAACUCAAUGGUAAAAUGGUUGAGGUCAAGCGGGCUGUCCCUAAAGAGUUAUCUCCAGGGCCAACUAGGAACCAGUUAGGGGGUUUUAAUUAUAGUCCUAGUAGAGCCAGUAGCUUCCUCAAUGGUUACACUCAGGGAUACAAUCCAAGUUUUGUUGGAGGGUAUGGUGUUAGAAUGGAUGGCAGGUUUAGUCCUGUUACUGCUGGGCGGAGUAACUUUUCUCCAUUUGGUAGUGGUUAUGGGAUGGGAUUGAACUUUGAGCAGGUGUUGAACCCAAUUUAUGGGGGAAAUUCAAACACCAGUUCUAAUGCUGGCUACGGACGAGUAAGUCCUUCAUAUAGUGGAAAUGCAAGCAGGUACAGCAACCCCAUUGGAUUUAGUGGAGGCAAUGGAGGAAGCAGUUCUGCCUUAAAUCCAAUUGCCCACUCUUUAUGGGGAAAUGGAAGUAUUAAUCAUGGUUCUAACACCACAAACUCCAGUUCUUUUAUGAGCUUUGGAAUGGGGAGCUCAGGAAUGGGUUCUUUUAGCAGUGUGGGAGCACUUUGGGGUUCCUCUGCUAAUUCUGAACAAGGUGGAGGGUUUCGCUCAGUCAAUAGCAGUAAUCUUAGCUUUGGUGGUGGAGAUUUUGAUAUUGGUCUAGGAGGAGUGGGGUAUGGAAGGAACAGUAGGACAGGUGUUGCACCAGCAUCAUCUCAUGCUGCAUCUAAUGGUGGUUAUGAUGGGGCUUAUGCAGACUUUUAUGAGAAGGGCUCAUUAUACGGGGAUAAUACCUGGCAAUCUUCACCUUCGGAACUGGAUGUGUCUGGCUCAUUUGGUUUUGGGCUUGGAAAUGCAACUUCUGAUGUUAUGACUAAAAAUUCUGCUGGUUAUGUUGGUGGUUAUAGUGUUGCUAAUAGACAAUCAAAUAGAGAAAAGUGUGUGAAUAAAAAUAACCCAUGAGACGAAUUUCUUGGCGCUUUGCUGAACGUUACUCGAUACAUUCACUUUAUCCAGAUUAUCAUGUGCAAAUUAUCUGAUGGAGAUUGUCUGAGUCCGUACUUCUUUAUCACUUAGUUCUUACUUUCAACUUGGAAUUGCUGCAUAGGAUGAUUAUGAUAUAGGUGAUGGUGAAGUGAACUUCGUACAUGUUUCUUGUCCAGAUGAUCAUGUUUCAACUUUGCUCAUCAUAUAGAGCAGUCACAAGGAAAUCUGUGUAUGGUUUGAGCUUUUGAGAUUUUUCUAAUAUAGGUUUUCUUUCUUGGAAUUUUAUUAAGAUGUAAAAUCACAUUGUGGGGUAUACUCAACAUGAUUGUAUGAUGCAUCUUUGGUGACAGCUAUAUUAAAAAAGGAAACAAUUUUUUAGCAUUA